AUUGAACGCUGGCGGCAGGCUUAACACAUGCAAGUCGAGCGGGGAAGGGUAGCUUGCUACCUAACCUAGCGGCGGACGGGUGAGUAAUGCUUAGGAAUCUGCCAUUUAGUGGGGGACAACAUUCCGAAAGGAAUGCUAAUACCGCAUACGUCCUACGGGAGAAAGCAGGGGAUCUUCGGACCUUGCGCUAAAUGAUGAGCCUAAGUCGGAUUAGCUAGUUGGUGGGGUAAAGGCCUACCAAGGCGACGAUCUGUAGCGGGUCUGAGAGGAUGAUCCGCCACACUGGGACUGAGACACGGCCCAGACUCCUACGGGAGGCAGCAGUGGGGAAUAUUGGACAAUGGGCGGAAGCCUGAUCCAGCCAUGCCGCGUGUGUGAAGAAGGCCUUAUGGUUGUAAAGCACUUUAAGCGAGGAGGAGGCUACUUAGAUUAAUACUCUAGGAUAGUGGACGUUACUCGCAGAAUAAGCACCGGCUAACUCUGUGCCAGCAGCCGCCGUAAUAC
rnacentral:rRNA from 1 species